rnacentral:lncRNA from 1 species
GUUUGUUACAUAGGUAUACACAUGCCAUGGUGGUUUGUGGCAUCCAUCAAACCAUCAACUACAUAAGGUAUUUCUCCUAAUGCUAUCCCUCCUCUAGCCCCUCACUCCCCAACAGGCCCCACUGUGUGAGGUUCCCCUCCCUGUGUCUAUGUGUUCUCAAUGUUUAACUCCCAGUUAUGAAUGAGAACAUGCGGUGUUUCAUUUUCUGUUCUUGUGUUAGUUUACUGAGAAUGAUGGUUUCCAAUGCCAGUUGGUUCCAAGUCUUUGCUAUUGUGAACAGUGCUGCAAUAAACAUACAUGUACAUGUGUCCUUACAUUAGAAUGAUUCAUAAUCCUUUGGGUAUAUAACCAGUAAUGGGAUUGCUGGGUCAAGUGGUAUUUCUAGUUCUAGAUC